GUGACAACCUAACGACGACGUCUGUCGAGGUUAACAUCGCCGUUACUGACUUUAAACGCAAGUAGACAAAAGCACAGUUGUGUGUGUUUCUUGCUUAACUCGUUGUAUAGCUCCAUAACAAAGCGGUCUACCAAUCACGAUGACUAAACAAACACGGUUGUACCUAGCUGUCGUCUGCUUGCUGCUUUUCAUAACCCUGGAAGCCAGAGGCAUCCACCACCAACAACAUCUCCGUCUGCCUCGAGGGGACUGCAUCCCGCACACGAUUAGUUGUCACCCUACAGGACUUCCUUGUUGCUCUGAGGAUGACACAUGCAGAUUGGUCAAUGACCCCAGUAGUACGUAUGGUGACACUUGCUGAUGUCUCUUCUUGUCACCAUAGCCUAACACCUCACCUUACACCUAACUCACACUUUCUUGCCACAGCUGGUGGUUUCUUGUGUCUGUAACAUGUACACCUGUAUCACCAAAAUCUAUAGUUAUAUAUUUCUAAGAUGUGUACUGUCACGGCUUGCUUUGAAAGAUAAAAAAGUAAUGACAGUUUGACGAGAAAACAUAGUAAAAAAAGGGAUGAAAGAGAGGAACUGUUUCCGUU